AUUCCUCAACCAAGCUCCAAGUGAAAUACAUGGCAGUAUUGGGACAGAGUUCCAGGAGAUGCCUUCUCAUCUUAUCUGUUUGCUUAGAAAAGUAAUGAAGAAUUGAUUCCUUCAUUUGUGUCCUGCCUUGUCAGCAAGAAAAUAAUAAAUGCCUCAGGUGUGGGCGGUCAUUUCAAUUGUCCAACUAUCUAAACACCCUUUAAGAAAUGACCUUUACCAAGAUGAAUGUGCUAAGUAGAAAACCUGUUCCCGAAAGAAAAAGAACACAGACACAGUACCCCUCUCCCUCAUUUGUUUUGUUUUGUUUUUUUUGAAGAAACCUGGUUCUUUUCCAGGAAACUUACUCUCUCUCCCCUCCCCCGCCCUCCUCUCCCUUCCCCUCUCCACACUAUGCGAAGCGGCCAUGCUAUUCAGUGAUUAUUUUCAAAAGCAAAUAAUAAAUGUAACAACUGUUCUAGA